rnacentral:lncRNA from 1 species
AUUUCUCAUACUCAUCUGGGUUUGAAGGAACCAAUGUAAGGUAUUCAGCGGGAAUUAUUUGGUCUGUGUCAAUAUUAUCACCAACAACGUAACAAAGGCCAUGAAAGGUUGUAGUCGAGGUGUCAGAAGGAAUGGAAGAGGGUGUGGAGGUGGCAUGUGGCGCAAUGGUGAUCGCACGUGCUCCAUGUGGGGUGAAGCUAGAAUUUAGGGGUUUGACAGUCAAAGGCAAGAAGGUGGGAACUUUGAUGGAAUGAGGGGAGAGAGAAGGUCCGGAGACUGUGGUUUUUGAUGCUGAAGAGGUGAAGGUGGCUGAGUAUGAAACAUGAGACAAAGAGACAGCCAUUAUUAGAUUAAUACGUCUGAUACAAAGGCAGC